CGAAAGCCUGACGGAGCAAUACCGCGUGAGGGAGGAAGGCUUUUGGGUUGUAAACCUCUUUUAUUAAGGAAGAAGCAAGUGACGGUACUUAAAGAAUAAGCAUCGGCUAACUCCGUGCCAGCAGCCGCGGUAAUACGGAGGAUGCAAGCGUUAUCCGGAAUUAUUGGGCGUAAAGCGUCCGCAGGUGGUGUUUCAAGUCUGCUGUCAAAGACCGAAGCUUAACUUCGGGUAGGCGGUGGAAACUGAAACACUAGAGUACGGUAGGGGUGGAGGGAAUUUCCAGUGUAGCGGUGAAAUGCGUAGAUAUUGGGAAGAACACCAGUGGCGAAGGCGCUCAACUGGGCCGUAACUGACACUCAGGGACGAAAGCUAGGGGAGCG
rnacentral:rRNA from 1 species